rnacentral:rRNA from 1 species
AGAGUUUGAUUCUGGCUCAGGACGAACGCUGGCGGCGCGCCUAACACAUGCAAGUCGAACGAGCGAGAGAGAGCUUGCUUUCUCGAGCGAGUGGCGAACGGGUGAGUAACGCGUGAGGAACCUGCCUCAAAGAGGGGGACAACAGUUGGAAACGACUGCUAAUACCGCAUAAGCCCACGGGUCGGCAUCGACCAGAGGGAAAAGGAGCAAUCCGCUUUGAGAUGGCCUCGCGUCCGAUUAGCUAGUUGGUGAGGUAAUGGCCCACCAAGGCAACGAUCGGUAGCCGGACUGAGAGGUUGAACGGCCACAUUGGGACUGAGACACGGCCCAGACUCCUACGGGAGGCAGCAGUGGGGAAUAUUGCACAAUGGGGGAAACCCUGAUGCAGCGACGCCGCGUGGAGGAAGAAGGUCUUCGGAUUGUAAACUCCUGUUGUUGAGGAAGAUAAUGACGGUACUCAACAAGGAAGUGACGGCUAACUACGUGCCAGCAGCCGCGGUAAAACGUAGGUCACAAGCGUUGUCCGGAAUUACUGGGUGUAAAGGGAGCGCAGGCGGGAGGACAAGUUGGAAGUGAAAUCUAUGGGCUCAACCCAUAAACUGCUUUCAAAACUGUUUUUCUUGAGUAGUGCAGAGGUAGGCGGAAUUCCCGGUGUAGCGGUGGAAUGCGUAGAUAUCGGGAGGAACACCAGUGGCGAAGGCGGCCUACUGGGCACCAACUGACGCUGAGGCUCGAAAGUGUGGGUAGCAAACAGGAUUAGAUACCCUGGUAGUCCACACCGUAAACGAUGAUUACUAGGUGUUGGAGGAGUGACCCCCUCAGUGCCGCAGUUAACACAAUAAGUAAUCCACCUGGGGAGUACGACCGCAAGGUUGAAACUCAAAGGAAUUGACGGGGGCCCGCACAAGCAGUGGAGUAUGUGGUUUAAUUCGACGCAACGCGAAGAACCUUACCAAGUCUUGACAUCCUGCGACGAUGCUGGAAACAGUAUUUUCCUUCGGGACGCAGAGACAGGUGGUGCAUGGUUGUCGUCAGCUCGUGUCGUGAGAUGUUGGGUUAAGUCCCGCAACGAGCGCAACCCUUACUGUCAGUUACUACGCAAGAGGACUCUGGCAGGACUGCCGUUGACAAAACGGAGGAAGGUGGGGAGGACGUCAAAUCAUCAUGCCCUUUAUGACUUGGGCUACACACGUACUACAAUGGCGUUAAACAAAGAGAAGCAAGACCGCGAGGUGGAGCAAAACUCAGAAACAACGUCCCAGUUCGGACUGCAGGCUGCAACUCGCCUGCACGAAGUCGGAAUUGCUAGUAAUCGUGGAUCAGCAUGCCACGGUGAAUAAAAGGCCGGGCCUUGCACUCUCCGCCCGUCA